GUGGCGGACGGGUGAGUAACACGUGGGUAACCUGCCCUUAAGUGGGGGAUAACAUUUGGAAACAGAUGCUAAUACCGCAUAGAUCCAAGAACCGCAUGGUUCUUGGCUGAAAGAUGGCGUAAGCUAUCGCUUUUGGAUGGACCCGCGGCGUAUUAGCUAGUUGGUGAGGUAAUGGCUCACCAAGGCGAUGAUACGUAGCCGAACUGAGAGGUUGAUCGGCCACAUUGGGACUGAGACACGGCCCAAACUCCUACGGGAGGCAGCAGUAGGGAAUCUUCCACAAUGGACGCAAGUCUGAUGGAGCAACGCCGCGUGAGUGAAGAAGGCUUUCGGGUCGUAAAACUCUGUUGUUGGAGAAGAAUGGUCGGCAGAGUAACUGUUGUCGGCGUGACGGUAUCCAACCAGAAAGCCACGGCUAACUACGUGCCAGCAGCCGCGGUAAUACGUAGGUGGCAAGCGUUAUCCGGAUUUAUUGGGCGUAAAGCGAGCGCAGGCGGUUUUUUAAGUCUGAUGUGAAAGCCCUCGGCUUAACCGAGGAAGCGCAUCGGAAGCUGGGAAACUUGAGUGCAGAAGAGGACAGUGGAACUCCAUGUGUAGCGGUGAAAUGCGUAGAUAUAUGGAAGAACACCAGUGGCGAAGGCGGCUGUCUGGUCUGUAACUGACGCUGAGGCUCGAAAGUAUGGGUAGCGAACAGGAUUAGAUACCCUGGUAGUCCAUGCCGUAAACGAUGAAUGCUAGGUGUUGGAGGGU
rnacentral:rRNA from 1 species